UACGUAGGGUGCGAGCGUUAAUCGGAAUUACUGGGCGUAAAGCGCGUGUAGGCGGUUGUCCAAGUUGGAUGUGAAAGCCUUGAGCUUAACUCAAGAAAUGCAUUCAGGACUGGAUGACUAGAGGACCGGAGAGGAGAUCGGAAUUCACGGUGUAGCAGUGAAAUGCGUAGAGCUCGUGAGGAAGACCGGUGGCGAAGGCGGAUCUCUGGACGGCCCCUGACGCUGAGGCGCGAAGGCUAGGGGAGCAAACGGGG
rnacentral:rRNA from 1 species